AUCUUUCCUAUCAAGACUUUCAAACAACACUCAGCUCCCCAUGGUUGUUUAUCUAGGGCACUACUAUUUUGAUAAUAAACCUCUGAUUGGAAAGAUAGCAGAUGUUCAUGUAUGGGAUAAGAAACUAAGUGAAGAAGAACUAGCAUACUAUUCGGACUGUAUUCCACAGCAAACAGUAGGGGA